CACCCGGACUUGCAAAACUGAAAUUGUUAAUGACUUGUAACCUAAAUCAAAGCCGAAAAUGGGGAGGCCUUGAAAGGAAUCAAUAGCUUCUAUGUCGCACAGUGGUAUCACAAGUGUUCUAGGGAGGAGAGGUAGGGGAAUAGGAAGAGGAAGAGGGAGGACUCAACCUGUGGAAGGUCUUGGCUCGAUUCCUACUCAGCAAAGCGGCACAUGAUUGAGGACUCAACCAGUGAACUUUGUUUUGUCAUUCUGUACUUUUGUUUUGUCAUUGUGUAAUGUGUUGGUUCCAUUGGGUAUUUGGAAACAAUUUGUAGGUUUAUGUAAUUCGAAUUGUGUUAAGUAUUUGGCUAAGUGGUCAGAUGAUGGAGUUUAAACAAUCUUUAGGCCUGUGUAAUGUUUUGUAAACAAUGGAUAUUUUAUCCAAGUUCGCUUGUGCAAUGUUAA